GGAAUAUUGGACAAUGGGCGCAAGCCUGAUCCAGCAACGCCGCGUGGAGGACGAAGGUCUUCGGAUCGUAAACUCCUGUCAGACGGGACGAAGGGACCGGGGUGAAACCAUCUCGGUUCUUGACGGUACUGUCAGAGGAAGCCCCGGCUAACUCCGUGCCAGCAGCCGCGGUAAUACGGAGGGGGCGAGCGUUAUUCGGAAUUAUUGGGCGUAAAGGGCGCGUAGGCGGCUUGACAAGUCAAAGGUGAAAUCCCUCGGCUCAACUGAGGAACUGCCUUUGAAACUGUCUGGCUUGAGGCCGGGAGGGGGUAGCGGAAUUCCCAGUGUAGCGGUGAAAUGCGUAGAUAUUGGGAGGAACACCAGUGGCGAAGGCGGCUACCUGGACCGGUUCUGACGCUGAUGCGCGAAAGCGUGGGGAGCAAAC
rnacentral:rRNA from 1 species